AACAUACCUAAACGUUGCUUCGGCGGGAACAGACGGCCCCGUGAAACGGGCCGCCCCCGCCAGAGGACCCCUAACUCUGUUUCUAUAAUGUUUCUUCUGAGUAAAACAAGCAAAUAAAUUAAAACUUUCAACAACGGAUCUCUUGGCUCUGGCAUCGAUGAAGAACGCAGCGAAAUGCGAUAAGUAAUGUGAAUUGCAGAAUUCAGUGAAUCAUCGAAUCUUUGAACGCACAUUGCGCCCGCCAGUAUUCUGGCGGGCAUGCCUGUUCGAGCGUCAUUACAACCCUCAGGCCCCCGGGCCUGGGUUUGGGGAUCGCGGAAGCCCCCCGUGGGCAGAACGGCGUUAACGUAAAAAAUACAGUGGCGGUCCCGCCGCAGCUUCCAUCGCGUAGUAGCUAACACCUCGCGACUGGAGAGCGGCGCGGCCACGCCGUAAAACACCCAACUCUUCUGAA
rnacentral:misc_RNA from 1 species